CAGCCGUAAACUAUGCGCGUUAGGUGUACUGGUGACCACGAGUCACCGGGGUGCCGAAUGGAAACCGUGAAACGUGCCGCCUGGGAAGUACGGUCGCAAGGCUGAAACUUAAAGGAAUUGGCGGGGGAGCACCACAACAGGUGGAGCCUGCGGUUUAAUUGGACUCAACGCCGGAAAUCUCACCGGAUAGGACAGACAUAUGAUAGUCGGGCUGAAGACUCUACUUGACUAGCUGAGAGGUGGUGCAUGGCUCAGUGACU
rnacentral:rRNA from 1 species